rnacentral:rRNA from 1 species
UACGUAGGGCGCAAGCGUUGUCCGGAAUUAUUGGGCGUAAAGAGCUCGUAGGCGGUCUGUUACGUCCGCUGUGAAAACCCAGGGCUUAACCCUGGGCUUGCAGUGGAUACGGGCAGACUAGAGGCAGGUAGGGGAGAAUGGAAUUCCCGGUGUAGCGGUGAAAUGCGCAGAUAUCGGGAGGAACACCGGUGGCGAAGGCGGUUCUCUGGGCCUUACCUGACACUGAGGAGCGAAAGCGUGGGGAGCGAACAGG